GGGCACCCGCCCACCGUCCCCGGCCCGGUCCCCGUCAGCUUUCCCGCAACGACAGCUCAUUGCUAAGGAGCCCGUGUCCAGGAGAGCUCGUCCGCGCACCUCCAGUGAAUUCUGAGUGUUUCCUGCAGAUGGAUGAAUAAUUGAGCAAGAAGGAGGACUAAAACAAUUUAAUGCUUUCCAGGAAAAGGUUUCUGUUCAACUUUCUAUUCAAAUGCCACAGCACUUGCUCCACCACUGCAGAAAUAACGUAAUCAAGAGUCAGUAUUUUAAUAAAGUUGUUAUUUAAUUUGGUCUGUAGUUGUGUUAAACAACAGACCAGUUUUUACUAUUACGGCCAGGAACCUGGAGUAGUAUUUUCUCACUGGAAACUGAGAAUUAGAAGCCACAAUCUCAUCUAGCAAAU